ACUCAAAUGAAUUGACGGGGGCCCGCACAAGCGGCGGAGCAUGUUGCUUAAUUCGACGCAACGCGAAGAACCUUACCAAGGUUUGACAUCACCCGGAUCGCGGUGGAGACAUCGUUUCCCUUUUGGGCUGGGUGACAGGUGGUGCAUGGCUGUCGUCAGCUCGUGUCGUGAGAUGUUGGGUUAAGUCCCGCAACGAGCGCAACCCUUGCUCCAUGUUGCCAGCACGCUCCUGUUUGGGGGUGGUGGGGACUCAUGGGGGACUGCCGGGGUCAACUCGGAGGAAGGUGGGGAUGACGUCAAGUCAUCAUGCCCCUUAUGUCUUGGGCUGCAAACAUGCUACAAUGGCUGGUACAGAGGGUGGCGAUGCCGUGAGGCGGAGCGAAUCCCUAAAAGCCGGUCUCAGUUCGGAUUGGGGUCUGCAACUCGACCCCAUGAAGUCGGAGUCGCUAGUAAUCGCAGAUCAGCAAUGCUGCGGUGAAUACGUUCCCGGGCCUUGUACACACCGCCCGU
rnacentral:rRNA from 1 species